rnacentral:rRNA from 1 species
UGGGGAAUCUUGCGCAAUGGGCGAAAGCCUGACGCAGCCAUGCCGCGUGGAUGAUGAAGGUCUUAGGAUUGUAAAAUCCUUUCAGCGGGGAAGAUAAUGACGGUACCCGCAGAAGAAGCCCCGGCUAACUUCGUGCCAGCAGCCGCGGUAAUACGAAGGGGGCUAGCGUUGCUCGGAAUUACUGGGCGUAAAGGGCGCGUAGGCGGACAGUUUAGUCAGAGGUGAAAGCCCAGGGCUCAACCUUGGAAUUGCCUUUGAUACUGGCUGUCUUGAGUACGGGAGAGGUGAGUGGAACUCCGAGUGUAGAGGUGAAAUUCGUAGAUAUUCGGAAGAACACCAGUGGCGAAGGCGACUCACUGGCCCGUUACUGACGCUGAGGCGCGAAAGCGUGGGGAGCAAACAGGAUUAGAUACCCUGGUAGUCCACGCCGUAAACGAUGAGUGCUAGUUGUCGGGCGGCAUGCCGUUCGGUGACGCAGCUAACGCAUUAAGCGCCCCGCCUGGGGAGUACGGCC